UUCCAGACUCCUACGGGAGGCAGCAGUGGGGAAUAUUGCACAAUGGGGGAAACCCUGAUGCAGCGACGCCGCGUGUGGGAAGACGGUCCUCUGGAUUGUAAACCACUGUCCCCAGGGACGAAGAUGACGGUACCUGGGGAGGAAGCUCCGGCUAACUACGUGCCAGCAGCCGCGGUAAUACGUAGGGGGCAAGCGUUAUCCGGAUUUACUGGGUGUAAAGGGGGCGCAGACGGCGAUGCAAGCCAGGAGUGAAAGCCCGGGGCCCAACCCCGGGACUGCUCUUGGAACUGCGUGGCUAGAGUGCAGGAGGGGCAGGCGGAAUUCCUGGUGUAGCGGUGAAAUGCGUAGAUAUUAGGAGGAACACCAGUGGCGAAGGCGGCCUGCUGGACGAUGACUGACGUUGAGGCUCGAAAGCGUGGGGAGCAAACAGGAUUAGAUACCCCAGUAC
rnacentral:rRNA from 1 species